GUGCUUACUUCAGCAGUGCGUGCACUUAAAAUGGAAAGGACACAGAGAAGAUUAGCAUGGCCCCUGAGCAAGGAGGAUGACAGAGCGUUGGAAGCUGUUCCAUAUUUUU
rnacentral:snRNA from 1 species